CCCGUCCCCGGAGGCGGAUGCCCCUGGGCCCCAGCGGAGCCCUCACCGGCCCCGGUCCCGCCGACCCUCCCCCGCCCCGGCGGGGUCCCCUCCCGGCCCCGGCGUUCGCGGAGGCUGCCGCUUCCCCCUGGGGCCGCCCCGGCUGCGGGGACAGCGGGCGACCGGGUCCUGCCCAGCCCAGCUGCCAGCUCCGGGGAGAGAGCGGCCGCCCCCGCUCCGCUCCCGGGAUCCUCGCCCCUACUUCUUCUUCUUCUUCUUCUUCUUCUUCUUCUUCCUCCUCCUCCUCCUGCCCGCCAGGUUGCGGGGCGGGCGGCGGCAGCCCCUCCUUUUCCCUCCACGUCACGCAGUGCCGUGUCGCACACUAGCCCAGGCCGCCCCCUUGCCCACGGCGUAGGGUGGGGACGGGACCCGUCCCCGGAGGCGGAUGCCCCUGGGCCCCAGCGGAGCCCUCACCGGCCCCGGUCACGCCGACCCUCCCCCGCCCCGGCGGGGUCCCCUCCCGGCCCCGGCGUUCGCGGAGGCUGCCGCUUCCCCCUGGGGCCGCCCCGGCUGCGGGGACAGCGGGCGACCGGGUCCUGCCCAGCCCAGCUGCCAGCUCCGGGGAGAGAGCGGCCGCCCCCGCUCCGCUCCCGGGAUCCUCGCCCCUACUUCUUCUUCUUCUUCUUCUUCUUCUUCUUCUUCCUCCUCCUCCUCCUGCCCGCCAGGUUGCGGGGCGGGCGGCGGCAGCCCCUCCUUUUCCCUCCACGUCACGCAGUGCCGUGUCGCACACACACGUCCGUGCACACACAUCAUAUAUAGAUAUAGAUAUAUACACGCACACACACAGAGACACUCGUGGGCGCCUCCGAGCCCGCCCUGCCCGGGACGGCCACGCUCCGCUCCGAAAUAAUGUCGUCCCUGCUGCUUCUGUACAUGCGGCUGCAUACACGCUUGAAACACUGACAAGCCUGAAGGCUGCAGGCACCGGCAGGAUGGAGCAGGCACCAGGACGUUGUUCAACCACCAAGCUGGCUGUGCCCGUGUCGAUCUGCUGGGACAGAGCAUCCUAAAGAGCUCUGUGAGGGGAAGAGACCAGAGCAAAGUCCAGGAGGUAGGUCUGCAGCUCUCCUUGAAAUGAUCUUGCUGAUGUGACAAGCGGUGACUUUGGCAGCGAGGACUUUGAUGUGGGGGGAAUUGACUGAAGGGGGU
rnacentral:lncRNA from 1 species